UGUCCAUUAAAGCUGUUUCUAAAAUCCUCGGUAAAUUAGUUUGGCUCACAUCAUUUUUGGAGCAAACCCUAUAUUUUACCCUAUAGCGAGGCCUAUCUUAGUUACUAUGGCAACGACGAAUGUAAAAGUUACUGAUCCUGCGUCAGCUGAGGAUGUUCCAUCAUAUUUGACUCAAAUAUGAUGAUAAAACCUUUAAAUUGAAAAAAAUGUUUUUAGGGUGGAAGACCCCCUUAAUAUCUUUAUCUUUUAUUAAUAAUAUAUUUAUAUCGUAUUUUGUACAACUUGCAAAUCUACCGGCAGACAUGCUGAAACAGCUCUCGCGUCAAUUGUUUUAUUAGACAUGAGAUUUAUAUCGAGGACGCGGACGUCAAAGACGACGUGAAAAUGGCGCGUUGUGCCCGUGUAUGGAUAUGCCACGCUAUUUUUACGCCAUUUUCACGUCGUCUUUGACGUCCGCGUCCUCGAUCUAAAUCUGUCUAUUGUUGACCGGUUAUCCCCUCACCACAAGCAUGCAAUGAACAUGACGUUUUGUAGACUGGCAUGUGAUACGGUUUGUCUAAUCGGCAAACAGGAAAAUUGAACUUUGGCACUUGCUAUAUAAUAAAUUAAUGUAUUCAUGCCUCACUCAAGUUGUUUAGAAUUCAUUAUUAAACCAUAACCCAGCCCACAAUUAAAGAAAAGAAAAUAUAAAACAAAAUCUGAAAAAUGAAAACAUCUUGAAAAAUGAAAAUGGAAAAUGAUAACCCAGGAUAUGAAAUAAAACAAGUAACGUUUAAACGGUUAUACAUGCAGAGUGUAUCAGAAAGAAGUGCACAGUUCUAAAAUUAAAAAUGCUGACAACGUUAUGUUAGUACGGGUAGUUUGAGUUCUUGCAUCUCUAUAACAAAAUUAUUAGAGGCAAAUUUUCUAGUGCAGCAGUGCUGAUUUUUAAAACCACUUUAAAAACGCCUUGCGCACAAAAAAUGGAAGGUUUGAAGAGCAAUUUGAAUUCAUAUGGUGUAAAUUUGGAAGGUGUUUCAUGAACUAUAUCAAAUUCCCGGACAAUUUGAUGUACAUGCAUUGAGUCCAACGCGCAACCUCUAAAACUUGGAUCUUUUGCCGUAGCAGCCUUUCAAGAAAAAUUGUUAAAAAUUAUAAAUUAUGCGUGAAGAGCUAUUUUGGCAAAAAUGUCCAAGUUUUAGAGGUAACGUGUUGGACUUAGAGUACAUCAAAUUAAUAUAUUACGGAC